GCGCCUGUAGCUCAGCUGGAUAGAGUACCUGGCUACGAACCAGGCGGUCAGAGGUUCGAAUCCUCUCAGGCGCA
rfam:Vibrio sp. CECT 9027 strain CECT 9027T genome assembly, contig: 0008